rnacentral:tRNA from 1 species
GGCGGUGUAGCUCAGCUGGCUAGAGCGUACGGUUCAUACCCCGUGAGGUCGUGGGUUCGACUCCCUCCGCCGCUACCA